CAUUUUUGGGGGUAGGCUCCGCCCCUGCCUUCAACAUCAGGCAGGAUCUGCCGGACUACAGCUAGACCCGGACGAAAGGCGGGGCAUAUGCCAAAAUCUUAUGAGACUCAAGCAUCUCUUUUAUUUUGAGACUGAUUCGAAUUUCUGUCUUUUAAUUUAACAUGGAAUAAAUGUCAUUCAAACGUUCACUUGCCUUCUGAGUCUUUAUGGUAGAAAUGAAAGCGUCAGCGUGUCGUAGCUGAAGUUCACCUCCAUCCUCCCCACCACCACCAGGUUGUUCCCUGUUCUUUUGUCCGGGGGUAGGCUCCGCCCCUGCCUUCAACAUCAGGCAGGAUCUGCCGGACUACAGCUAGACCCGGACGAAAGGCGGGGCAUAUGCCAAAAUCUUAUGAGACUCAAGCAUCUCUUUUAUUUUGAGACUGAUUCGAAUUUCUGUCUUUUAAUUUAACAUGGAAUAAAUGUCAUUCAAACGUU